rnacentral:lncRNA from 1 species
UAACUUUUGCCUGGACUGGUUCUUUUGAACUCUCAGUCCACCGGGAUGCCCUAAUUUUUGCUUGAGUCAACUUCUUGGUGUUCAACUUAGCAGUUUCUUUUUUUCCUACUGAUAUGAUUGUCAUGUCAUUGGUUAUCGAGGAACAAUUACUUGAUAUUUUUUUGAUGUGUGUUAAAAAGGCAAGUGGUUACACCUUUUAGAUGUUCAGAAUGAUUCUCUUAAGAUUUGAAUGCAUAACCAAAUUAACUGAAAACUACCCUGCCCUAGGUUCAUAUCAAGGGUUUUU